AGGACUGCUCUACACUGGGCCUGUGUCAACGGCCAUGCGGAAGUAGUAACAUUUCUGGUAGACAGAAAGUGCCAGCUUGACGUCCUGAUGGCGAAAACUGGACACCUCUGAUGAAGAUCUUUGAGGAGUCAACACACUUCCUUCCUCGAUGGUUGAACUAAUUCUUGGCAAGCCUCCUAGCAAGCCUCUGUGUCAGCCUCCUAGCCAGCCAGCCUGAAGACUGGCCUCCCAUGCAGCCAGCAUUCCGAACAGCAUUCCAGCAACCCUCUUCCCCUGCCAGAAGACUCGUGAUUUGAUUAGCCUCCCAUGCAGCCAGGCUCUAGGCCAGCCUCCAAAAAACCGGCCUGCCACCAGGCCUCCAAGUCACAUUCAUCUUGCCGGACUCUUCAGCAAGCGUUUUAGGAAGCAUUUAAGGCAGCCUCUCACACAGCCUCUCCCGCAGGCUCUUGGCCAGCCUCCUAGACAGCCAGCCUCCGAUCCAGCCUUUCAGAAAGUCUCUAAGCGAAUCUCCCAGACAAUCAGCUUCCAGACCAACCUCCCAUGCAGCCAGCGUUUUUAACAGCCAUCCAGCAAGCCUCUUGCACAGCCAGACAAUCUGCCACUCUGCCAGUUUCCUCGCCAGCCUCUUGGUUAGCCUCCCAUGCAGCCAGCUUCUAGGCCAGCCUCCUAACAAGCCAGACUUGCAUUCCGACUCUUAGCCAGAUUCAGCCUGCCAGGAUCUCAGCAGGCCUUUUAGCAAGCGUUUAUGGCAGCCUCUCAGACAGAAAGCCUCUCCCACAGGCUCUAGGCCAGCCUCCCAGUGAGCCAGCCUCUCAGCAAGCCUCUAUGCUACUUUUCAAGAGAGUCCUUCAGUACACCAGCCUCCCAUGCAGCCCGCGCCUUGGCCAGCCUUCCAGCCAGCCUCUAGCAUAAAAACCACUUAAGAAGGCCCUGUUGCUUCCCUUCACCCUAAAACACUGCAGAGAGUGCCCUGAAAUAUUUGAAAUGUUGAAAAGCUGAACCUACAAAUGUCAAAACACAAAUGUAUAUUUGUUAUUGGGAAUGUUUUUCUCAACAAAAAUUGAAACAUUAAAAAUAAUAAAAUCUAAUUACUUAUUUUGUACUUGUCUUUCCUUAUUCAGGUCUACAUAAACUAGAAAAGCCUUAAAAAUCUUCAUAGGUACUUAUACCCAAGGAGAGAGACUGCUAGAAAAACUGAGUCCUGAUAGUUGGAUUUCUCUAAAUACUAUAUU
rnacentral:lncRNA from 1 species